CGUGAUAUCCAUUCAAAUAGAAUUCCUUCGUUUUCCGGUGGGAAGAAACAAUAGAUUUGCUCGAAUCGGUAGCAAUAGCGCAUCUAGCUGUAUUUCCACGACACAUUGCAUAUCCUGCAAUGCAAGGCCUGGCAUAUGGACUUUCCUUCCUGCACCGGUAUGUUUCUGGAGUUCCUAUGAAGCAUCCAAUACUAGGACCACAGCAAAUGUGUGGCCCAAAGCACUGACCCAGAUGAUUGGGACCGCAUGGAGGACACUAGGUUCAGAAUAUUAUAACAACUGGAUUAUAGUGAAAUAGAUGUGUCAUUUAGAACGUUACUUACUUCUCGAGUGACAGUUCCCAGAGAAGGCGCGAUGUCACCUCUUUUGCCACCGCGAGGGCAAUUCGUAAUUAAACAAGCGUAACUGAAGAAAAUGAGACUUGCGAAAAUGACGAGAU